UACGUAGGCAGCGAGCGUUGUUCGGAAUUACUGGGCGUAAAGAGUGUGUAGGCGGUGCUCUAAGUCAGACGUGAAAUCCCUCGGCUUAACCGGGGAACGGCCUCUGAUACUGGCUGGCUGGAGUUCGGGAGAGGGAUGCGGAAUUCCAGGUGUAGCGGUGAAAUGCGUAGAUAUCGGAAGGAACAUCAGUGGCGAAAGCGGCUUCCUGGACCAGUACCGACGUUCAGGCACGAAAGCGUGGGGAGCAAACAGG
rnacentral:rRNA from 1 species